rnacentral:rRNA from 1 species
UACGUAGGUGGCAAGUGUUGUUCGGAAUUACUGGGUGUAAAGGGCGUGUAGGCGGGAUAGCAAGUCAGAUGUGAAAUUCCAGGGCUUAACCCCGGCACUGCAUCUUAAACUGUUAUUCUUGAGUGUCGGAGAGGAAAGUGGAAUUCCCAGUGUAGCGGUGAAAUGCGUAGAGAUUGGGAGGAACACCAGUGGCGAAGGCGGCUUUCUGGACGAUAACUGACGCUGAGGCGCGAAAGCGUGGGGAGCAAACAGG